rnacentral:rRNA from 1 species
UACGUAGGGGGGCAAGCGUUGUCCGGAUUUAUUGGGCGUAAAGAGCGUGUAGGCGGCCUGACAGGUCUGCUGUGAAAACUCGAGGCUCAACCUCGAGAUGUCGGCGGAAACCGUCUGGCUAGAGUCCGGAAGAGGAGAGUGGAAUUCCUGGUGUAGCGGUGAAAUGCGCAGAUAUCAGGAGGAACACCGGUGGCGAAGGCGGGUCUCUGGGCCGAUACUGACGCUGAGGAGCGAAAGCGUGGGGAGCGAACAGG